GGUUAAGCGACUAAGCGUACACGGUGGAUGCCCUGGCAGUCAGAGGCGAUGAAGGACGUGCUAAUCUGCGAUAAGCGUCGGUAAGGUGAUAUGAACCGUUAUAACCGGCGAUUUCCGAAUGGGGAAACCCAGUGUGUUUCGACACACUAUCAUUAACUGAAUCCAUAGGUUAAUGAGGCGAACCGGGGGAACUGAAACAUCUAAGUACCCCGAGGAAAAGAAAUCAACCGAGAUUCCCCAAGUAGCGGCGAGCGAACGGGGAGCAGCCCAGAGCCUGAAUCAGUGUGUGUGUUAGUGGAAGCGUCUGGAAAGGCGCGCGAUACAGGGUGACAGCCCCGUACACAAAAAUGCACAUAUUGUGAGCUCGAUGAGUAGGGCGGGACACGUGGUAUCCUGUCUGAAUAUGGGGGGACCAUCCUCCAAGGCUAAAUACUCCUGACUGACCGAUUAGUUGAACCAGUACCGUGAGGGAAAGGCGAAAAGAACCCCGGCGAGGGGAGUGAAAAAGAACCUGAAACCGUGUACGUACAAGCAGUGGGAGCACGCUUAGGCGUGUGACUGCGUACCUUUUGUAUAAUGGGUCAGCGACUUAUAUUCUGUAGCAAGGUUAACCGAAUAGGGGAGCCGAAGGGAAACCGAGUCUUAACUGGGCGUUAAGUUGCAGGGUAUAGACCCGAAACCCGGUGAUCUAGCCAUGGGCAGGUUGAAGGUUGGGUAACACUAACUGGAGGACCGAACCGACUAAUGUUGAAAAAUUAGCGGAUGACUUGUGGCUGGGGGUGAAAGGCCAAUCAAACCGGGAGAUAGCUGGUUCUCCCCGAAAGCUAUUUAGGUAGCGCCUCGUGAAUUCAUCUCCGGGGGUAGAGCACUGUUUCGGCAAGGGGGUCAUCCCGACUUACCAACCCGAUGCAAACUGCGAAUACCGGAGAAUGUUAUCACGGGAGACACACGGCGGGUGCUAACGUCCGUCGUGAAGAGGGAAACAACCCAGACCGCCAGCUAAGGUCCCAAAGUCAUGGUUAAGUGGGAAACGAUGUGGGAAGGCCCAGACAGCCAGGAUGUUGGCUUAGAAGCAGCCAUCAUUUAAAGAAAGCGUAAUAGCUCACUGGUCGAGUCGGCCUGCGCGGAAGAUGUAACGGGGCUAAACCAUGCACCGAAGCUGCGGCAGCGACGCUGAUGCGUUGUUGGGUAGGGGAGCGUUCUGUAAGCCUGCGAAGGUGUGCUGUGAGGCAUGCUGGAGGUAUCAGAAGUGCGAAUGCUGACAUAAGUAACGAUAAAGCGGGUGAAAAGCCCGCUCGCCGGAAGACCAAGGGUUCCUGUCCAACGUUAAUCGGGGCAGGGUGAGUCGACCCCUAAGGCGAGGCCGAAAGGCGUAGUCGAUGGGAAACAGGUUAAUAUUCCUGUACUUGGUGUUACUGCGAAGGGGGGACGGAGAAGGCUAUGUUGGCCGGGCGACGGUUGUCCCGGUUUAAGCGUGUAGGCUGGUUUUCCAGGCAAAUCCGGAAAAUCAAGGCUGAGGCGUGAUGACGAGGCACUACGGUGCUGAAGCAACAAAUGCCCUGCUUCCAGGAAAAGCCUCUAAGCAUCAGGUAACAUCAAAUCGUACCCCAAACCGACACAGGUGGUCAGGUAGAGAAUACCAAGGCGCUUGAGAGAACUCGGGUGAAGGAACUAGGCAAAAUGGUGCCGUAACUUCGGGAGAAGGCACGCUGAUAUGUAGGUGAAGCGACUUGCUCGUGGAGCUGAAAUCAGUCGAAGAUACCAGCUGGCUGCAACUGUUUAUUAAAAACACAGCACUGUGCAAACACGAAAGUGGACGUAUACGGUGUGACGCCUGCCCGGUGCCGGAAGGUUAAUUGAUGGGGUCAGCGCAAGCGAAGCUCUUGAUCGAAGCCCCGGUAAACGGCGGCCGUAACUAUAACGGUCCUAAGGUAGCGAAAUUCCUUGUCGGGUAAGUUCCGACCUGCACGAAUGGCGUAAUGAUGGCCAGGCUGUCUCCACCCGAGACUCAGUGAAAUUGAACUCGCUGUGAAGAUGCAGUGUACCCGCGGCAAGACGGAAAGACCCCGUGAACCUUUACUAUAGCUUGACACUGAACAUUGAGCCUUGAUGUGUAGGAUAGGUGGGAGGCUUUGAAGUGUGGACGCCAGUCUGCAUGGAGCCGACCUUGAAAUACCACCCUUUAAUGUUUGAUGUUCUAACGUUGACCCGUAAUCCGGGUUGCGGACAGUGUCUGGUGGGUAGUUUGACUGGGGCGGUCUCCUCCUAAAGAGUAACGGAGGAGCACGAAGGUUGGCUAAUCCUGGUCGGACAUCAGGAGGUUAGUGCAAUGGCAUAAGCCAGCUUGACUGCGAGCGUGACGGCGCGAGCAGGUGCGAAAGCAGGUCAUAGUGAUCCGGUGGUUCUGAAUGGAAGGGCCAUCGCUCAACGGAUAAAAGGUACUCCGGGGAUAACAGGCUGAUACCGCCCAAGAGUUCAUAUCGACGGCGGUGUUUGGCACCUCGAUGUCGGCUCAUCACAUCCUGGGGCUGAAGUAGGUCCCAAGGGUAUGGCUGUUCGCCAUUUAAAGUGGUACGCGAGCUGGGUUUAGAACGUCGUGAGACAGUUCGGUCCCUAUCUGCCGUGGGCGCUGGAGAACUGAGGGGGGCUGCUCCUAGUACGAGAGGACCGGAGUGGACGCAUCACUGGUGUUCGGGUUGUCAUGCCAAUGGCACUGCCCGGUAGCUAAAUGCGGAAGAGAUAAGUGCUGAAAGCAUCUAAGCACGAAACUUGCCCCGAGAUGAGUUCUCCCUGACUCCUUGAGAGUCCUGAAGGAACGUUGAAGACGACGACGUUGAUAGGCCGGGUGUGUAAGCGCAGCGAUGCGUUGAGCUAACCGGUACUAAUGAACCGUGAGGCUUAACCUUAC
rnacentral:rRNA from 1 species